rnacentral:rRNA from 1 species
AACGAACGCUGGCGGCAUGCCUAACACAUGCAAGUCGAACGAGACCUUCGGGUCUAGUGGCGCACGGGUGCGUAACGCGUGGGAACCUGCCCUUAGGUUCGGAAUAACUCCCCGAAAGGGGUGCUAAUACCGGAUAAUGUCUUCGGACCAAAGAUUUAUCGCCCUUGGAUGGGCCCGCGUUGGAUUAGGUGGUUGGUAUGGUAAAAGCCUACCAAGGCGACGAUCCAUAGCUGGUCUGAGAGGAGGAUCAGCCACACUGGGACUGAGACACGGCCCAGACUCCUACGCGAGGCAGCAGUGGGUAAUAUUGGACAGUCGGCGGAAGCCUGAUCCAGCUAGGCCGCGUGAGUGAUGAAGGCCUUAGGGUUGUAAAGCUCUUUUAACCGGGCUGAUAAUGACAGUACCGGGAGAAUAAGCCCCGGCUAACUCCGUG